UCCUGUCGGAGGACUGGCGGGCAGAGUUAUUCACGGAUCACGGCGGACAUAUGGGCUGACUGGGACUCGCUGAAGACUUGCCCUCACUGCUGGGACUCGAUACGAAUGCCAUGCAGUUCUGGAUCAGACUUCAGUGAAAGUAUCAUCAUUCUAUCAAACAGGGUUGCAGCCGAUGUCGUAGGCGCCUACUCAUGCAACCGGCAAAAGCGGCUGACAAAACCCUGAAAAUGUGGGUUGCAUCUGAGUAUCCUAAGUGGCCGACAGUCU